AACUGACAUCAGGAGCCCUGAUGCUAUUUGAGUCGGAAGCCAGAUGGCUGAUAAGGAAAAUGCAAGUAGCAGGUGACAAUUAGCACACACACUGCCUUAGACUACCUGCAUACCCCAGGACUGAAAGAUUCACCAAUCAGACAAGCAAAAUGAUGAAGACUGACAACUACAAAUUGGCUAUUUCUUUCAACUUUUUUUGAAACUUAAAGGAAUUCUGAAAAUCCUUCAUUCUUGAAGAUCAAAAGCUACUGUAAACCUGGGUAUUGCACUGUUGUGCCUGAUCCAUUCCCUUCUCUGGUUUCCAGAAACUGGUAUGUAUGAACUUGCAUUAAACGUUUUAAGUGAUUAAAGCCCUGUAAAGGACAGUGAGUUACAUGUGAAAAUCUCUCUUCUAAAUUAGCGAUAACAUGGGAAGUAUCCAAAACAAGUCAGUUCAUGUAAUGCAUACGUUUGGGUUACCAGUCCCCAUGGGAAUAUGUCAGAAGACAAGCUAUGUUACUAAGUUAACCAAACACAAAUUUGUCUUACAAUUUUUCCGUUCAUUCAAAUGGGACAUGAAUAUUUUGUUUCCUAAUCUGCACAAUUACCCUGGAGCUCAUGUUGUAAUGUGUCAGUACAAUGACAGCUUCCCCUGAAUGACAACUCACAGCUAUAGUGAAAAAUGACAGGAUUUGUAAACUAAGGUUGUUUAAAGAAAAGGCACAGUUCUUGAGUGACUAUUUCUCAGUUAAUCAUAACUGCAUUUUACAAUACACCUUAAAGAUACUUAUUUUAAAAUGGGUCUAAUUAACAUGCUUAAAGGGACUUGUAGUGGUGUAUAACACAGAAUAUGCUGUACUACCACCUACUAACGCAAUAUUGUUGAUGGCAAUUAGAAGAUGCUCAAGAGAGAUUCUACACAUUCUACAAUGCGAUCUAGUAAAAACAAGCCAGUAGUAAUGGGUCUCAGAGUUUGUAAAUGUUCACCUUAGUGGCAGGCUUUUUCAUCAUGCCUUUUCUUGUUACUUGGGUAGUUACUGUCACUAGCCUUUUUUCUAAUGGAGGCCUUAUUUUUCAUGUAGCAUAAGCCACUACUUGUCUCCCUGAAUGUACAUUUGUGUGGAACUCUGUUAUAUAUGAUAUUUCAUUCUAUUUAUCCUGAAGUUUCCUUAAUGGCAUCUUGCUUAACAAAAAAGGUGAAAUGAGUAUUUUACACUCAUAAGCGUAGGAAAGGAGUCUUGGACUGAAAGCUGACUGGGAAGCUCUCUCGUGAUUUUCAUCCUCAUGAAUGGAGCUAGAACUCUGAAUAUAAAUCACUGUAAGGUUUGCUAUGUUUUUUAAAUAUGAGUUUUGGAACUUGAACUUGUAUCUGUGCCAUACACUGACUGUAUUUAGUUUCAGCUCUUGGGACAAGGGAUUGACUAUGUAACAUUUGUACGGCAGCUAGCAUAAGCCUUUAUUUGUACCUGCGGAGUAGGGGAAUUGCUGCAAAAUAAGUACCUAAUUCUAAUAAUAAUGUGAUCCCCCCAAAAUAAGGAGAAUAACUCCCAACAUUCUAAGUGCUUUUGAACACUUUCAAAAUGUUCAGAAAGUCUGCGAAAUGUUCAGAAAGUUUUAAGGUGUAGUAAGACAGAAGUCUUAACAUAAGUAUGCUGCAGACAUUAAAAAGACUAAUGCUGUUGUCAUGCUGAUUUCAUUUUUCUUUUGUUGUAUAAAUAUAUAUAUAGUACAUAAAAAAAAUAUUGGAGAUGAUCUGAAUUGGUUCAUAAAACCUUGCUGGUUUGCAAAUCAUUACGAUAUUUUAACUGCACUGCCUGGUUCUGAGUUAGUGUCUGUAGGCAUCUUGCAUUAUAUUAUACCUGGGAAUUGCAGCUGAAACUUGUGGCUACACAAUACUGUUCUGGAAACUUGGUAUUUAAGGUUGAAGGAACAGAGCAACUUCUAUGCAAGAUCUCUGAUGCGAAAUUCUGGUCAUGGUAACUUCUAUAGCUUCUCCUUUGUUUAAAUAAUGCUGAUUGGUUUUGCCUUUCCACUGCACUUCAGUGGAAGCACCUUUUUUUUUUUUGACUUUUUACUUUCAGCUUAGCUUCUUAGAUUCUUCAUGUUUAUGGCCAUUGAUUUUCUUGAGAUGUUCCUACAAUGCUUAAGAAAUUCUUCUCUAAUUAAUCAUGCCAUAUGUACUUGAUACCAAAACCCAGAGACUUUGAAAGGUGCAUUGCUUUCUAGAAAGUGUAUACUUCUAUACAUUUUACUCAGUAUAUGUAGAUAUGCAUGGUUGGUAAAUAUUUGGUAUAUUGGUACUUGAAGAAGGUCUGUAUUGGGUUUGUGUGGCAAGGUUUUGGUAGUGGGGUGGGAUGGUAUAGGGGUGGCUUCUGUGAGAAGCUGCUAGAAGCUUCCCCCAUGUCCGACAGAGCCAAUGCCAGUCGGCUCUGAGACAGACCUGCUGCUGGCCAAGACCGAGCCUGUCAGUGAUGGUGGUGGUGCCUCUGGGAGAACAGAUUUAAGAAGGGGAAAAAAACCUGCAGCCAAAGAGAGCAGGGAGAACAUGUGAGAGCAACAG